rnacentral:misc_RNA from 1 species
AACCAUAGAAACCUGCGGAGUACCUGCGGAAGGAUCAUUACCGAGUUUACAACUCCCAAACCCCUGUGAACAUACCAAUUGUUGCCUCGGCGGAUCAGCCCGCUCCCGGUAAAACGGGACGGCCCGCCAGAGGGCCCCUAAACUCUGUUUCUAUAUGUAACUUCUGAGUAAAACCAUAAAUAAAUCAAAACUUUUAGCAACGGAUCU